rnacentral:rRNA from 1 species
AUGUCUUCCUCCGGCGCCUUCUCACCAAACCUCAACAAUCAGGUCACAGAGAAGCUGUCACGCGCGAACUACGUGCUAUGGCGCACGCAGAUCACACCUCAGCUGCGCGGUGCCGGCGUCUUCGGCUACGUCGACGGCACCAACCCGGAGCCGGCCAAGCUCCUCGUCACCGUCAAGGAGGGCAAGGAGACUUCAUCGCCCAACCCUCUCCAUCCUUGGGUACGGGAGGACCAGCAGGUCCUUGGCUACCUGCUGAAUAACCUCACAAAAGAGGUCCUGGUCACGGUGACCACGGUC